AUACGGAGGGUGCAAGCGUUAAUCGGAAUUACUGGGCGUAAAGCGUACGUAGGCGGUCCGUUAAGUUGGAUGUGAAAGCCCCGGGCUUAACCUGGGAACUGCAUUUAAAACUGGCGGACUAGAGUUGACUAGAGGGGAGUGGAAUUUCAGGUGUAGCGGUGAAAUGCGUAGAGAUCUGAAGGAACACCAGUGGCGAAGGCGACUCCCUGGACUCGAACUGACGCUGAGGUACGAAAGCGUGGGUAGCAAACGGAAUUAGAAACCCGAGUAGUCC
rnacentral:rRNA from 1 species